UACGUAGGGUGCAAGCGUUGUCCGGAAUUAUUGGGCGUAAAGAGCUCGUAGGCGGUCUGUCGCGUCUGCUGUGAAAACUCGGGGCUUAACCCCGGGCCUGCAGUGGGUACGGGCAGACUGGAGUACUGCAGGGGAGACUGGAAUUCCUGGUGUAGCGGUGGAAUGCGCAGAUAUCAGGAGGAACACCGGUGGCGAAGGCGGGGUCUCUGGGCAGUAACUGACGCUGAGGAGCGAAAGCGUGGGGAGCGAACAGGA
rnacentral:rRNA from 1 species